rnacentral:lncRNA from 1 species
AUGAGUGUYGUGCGCCAGGCGUCCAGCGACGUCACUAACGGCGGCCCCCACCCUGCCAUGUACCCCUCGGGCCCUGUGGUGCUCCAGGCCCCCCUGCAGCACCAGCAGACUGGCUACAUGGUGGCCCCUCCAGGGCCCCCUGUGGUGGGGCAAACCCAGGCCUACCCCGGCCCUGCACACCCUAUGAGCCAGCCGGUCAUGCAGCAGCAGCAGGGCUACAUGCCACAGCAGAUGCACACAUGUUACUGUGCUCCAGCCCAGGACCCCCACUCCCACUGCAACCAGCACUAUCGCCCUGUCAGCCCCGUGCACUACACCAGCCCCCAGAACCAGCCUCUUCCCCAGCAGCCAGGUUACCAACGCUGUGAUGCCAAAUCAGCCCCAAGGCCCUCAGCAUCAGAACCUGUGAACAACCAGACGCACAGCAAUAUGGGAAAUCACAUGACGGCCUUCAGGGUCCAGUACCCUUGCAAUGCCGUCUUUCAGGUACGUUCUUAUUGGCUUGUCAUAUUAGAUUAACUGUUUUUGUUUUUUAAAUAAAGAAAAAAAUGGAUUUGUCCUUUUGCUUUGAGUGGUUUGACUCUAUCUUGCUCUUGUGACAAUCUAUAAUUAGAUCAACCGAACCUGAAAUGUUAAAUCAUUGAGGAUUGAUGAAAAAAGGAUUUGAAAGGGAUCCGACAUCAGAUGUCUGUAUCAAUUGUAAAUGUAAAAAAAAAAUACUCCUGCUUAACCCGUUUUCCAUAUGGUCUGUGUGUGUGGUGCAGGUAUCAAUGCCCAGGGGUCUCAGACAUGCUCCACAUCAGCAGGCAUGUCAACAGCCCAUGAUGAUCCAGAGCCAUCCAAGCCAAGCUCCCAUGGCCAUGUCAGGCAUGCAGGUUUACUACAGUGUCAGGCCCCCAAAUCAACACAGCACCAUGAUAGGAAUGAGCUGUUCUGUUGUUGACAGUAGGAAGAUGGACUGUGUAUUAAAUAGUCUAGUGUUAGGUCUGUAAUCUGGGACUGUUCAUAUCCCUAAGUAUUCAACUUGAUGAAAGGGGCAACAGAUACCGAUGUCCAACCAAACGGCAACACCCAUUUACAACAGUCCAUUAUAGUAGCUAGACUCUAUAGAGGCCCCCCCCCCCCCUGUUCCCCCCCAGGGCCAUAGUUCUCCUAUAGUGUGGUUUGAUGAGGGAGUUAUGCCGGUGUAGAAACCGGUCCUCAUGGAAGCUGAGGUGUCUAUAAGACUGGGCUGCACUGCACUGUUCAUCGCCUUAUAAAUCACCUCCAGACUGCCCUACUAACAGACUCCUCUGAGCUGAAAGUGACCUCCAGAUGCCCACUAACAACUCCACGAGCUGAAAGGUCUCCAGACGCCCUACUAACAAACCCA